rnacentral:rRNA from 1 species
CCCUUAGAUGUUCUGGGCCGCACGCGUGCUACACUGACCGGUGCAACAAGUUUCUUUCCUUGGCUCGAUAGGCCUGGGUAAUCUUUGAACACCGGUCGUGAUGGGGAUAGAUCCUUGCAAUUUUUGAUCUUCAACGAGGAAUUCCUAGUAAAUGCGAGUCAUCAUCUCGCGUUGAUUACGUCCCUGCCCUUUGUACACACCGCCCGUCGCACCUACCGAUUGAAUGGUCCGGUGAAAUCUCGGGACGGCGGCUUGGUCGCUUGCGUCCGACUGCUGAAACUUGAUUAAACCAUAUCAUUUAGAGGAAGGUGAAGUCGUANCA